UGAACUUCAUUUCCCACCAUUAUUAAUUUUCAAAAUUCCCCAUCGAUUAGAUGUGCUUGUUUGUUUAUGGUUUAGUUAAUGACAUUUCCACAAUGUUUAGAUCAUUUGAUGCAAUUUGAUUGCAACAUUUUUGUUUCUCAGAUUACUUCUUCUGGUCAAGGUGACUAUUUUGUUGAUUAAUAUGGAGAGAUUCUCUUAUAGAGAUCAUAUUCUGGUGGGAUUAGGGCACGGUAGUCCUUAGACAUCACCUGGUUCUUCAUAA